AUUGAACGCUGGCGGCAGGCCUAACACAUGCAAGUCGAGCGAGCGGCGGACGGGUGAGUAAUGUCUGGGAACCUGCCUGAUGGAGGGGGAUAACUACUGGAAACGGUAGCUAAUAUCGCAUACCAUCAGAUGUGCCCAGAUGGGAUUAGCUAGUAGGUGGGGUAACGGCUCACCUAGGCGAUGAUCCCUAGCUGGUCUGAGAGGAUGACCAGCCACACUGGAACGGAUGCACGGUCCAGACUCCUACGGGAGGCAGCAGUGGGGAAUAUUGCACAAUGGGCGCAAGCCGGAUGCAGCCAUGCCGCGUGUGUGAAGAAGGCCUUCGGGUUGUAAAGCACUUUCAGCGGGGAGGCGUUACCCACAGAGGAAGCACCGGCUAACUCCGUGCCAGCAGCCGCGGUAAUUC
rnacentral:rRNA from 1 species